CACAGCCGAGCGGGCUUCCGUCCAGAGCCGCGCUCCUGAGACCAAGUCGCUCUCCACCCGCGGCCUGGGAGGGCUCGCGACAAACACGGGCAAAGGCACGCGUACUUCGCCCGCAAAACNGUCCGCAGNGAAAGAGCUACAGGGCGGAACUCACCCUGCAUCCUACGUCCGUAUCAGAAGAUCGUCCCCUAGGAAACUUAGCUCUCUACUUCCGGAAGUGCUUAAUGUUUGAUAGGUGGACCGGCGCCGAGGCUCCCAGUUUCCGGUGGGCGUGCUCCUGGCUCUAAUAUGGAAGUGGAGCGGACUCCUAGUACCGCUAGGAGCUGCUGGCGGAGGACAAGGAGAACUAACUCUAUUUUGUUCCGGUUUCGGAGGUGGAAAAGCCCCCACUGGUCGGGCCUAGAAGCUGAGGUAUGGUGGUGUCAGCCUUGUUCUUAGCCUGUGUUGAACACCCUUUUCCUGUGAAAAAGAAAAAUAUUCACCAAGACGGGAGUCACAAUUUAUCAGAGCUUUCGAGACUCAGUUUACCGAGUGUGCUCUUGGGUGGAAACGGGGAUCUGGCGUGGUUGUGGCUUACAUUGAAGGAGCGCUUCCGGUGCUUGGAGAUCUAGAGACAAGUGGACUUUCACAGCUGUGACAGAGGAAAGAGGCAAAUUUCUUGAGCAGACCGGAGGACGCGACGCUGGGAUCAAGUCCCCAGAAGCCAUCCGCCUCAGGGAAUUAUACAAGACCAGGGUGUUUGGACUCAGGCACAUUGGAACUCAGAAUCUAAUUAAUUUCUACUGAUAAUCGACCUUAUACUCCUUCAGAGAUACCUGGGAGGUUAACUCAAAACAAAUGAGAGGGUGUCCGUUUUGUUUCCUUUGCUCAGUGUGAAGUACAAGUGUGUCUUCAUAGUACAGAAUAUGAAAGUGUCCCUAUCUGUCCCCAGUCAUUCUUCACUAUCAGUAGCAUCUCUGAGAUCUGUGUCAUAUGAAAGAUGACAUGCUGACACCAUGCACCUGGUUGGUUGUCAGAAUGACUUCUUUUCUUGUAAGAGAAUUCUCUGGCACAAAAAGAUGUACAUCAGAACAUACCAUAUGUAGCAGGAGCAGCUGUGUCUUGGAGUGAGAAUUUCUGAAAUAUGCUUUGUUCUGAAACAAAUAUAAACAAUAAAAGUCUGAACCAAAGUGAGAA